ACCUGGCGGGCCAGCCAGUGUCCGGCCACGGUGCUUGUGCCAAGGACCGGCCUCUGCGCUCAUGGAAUGAGAGCCGCGAGGAGAGCAGCGCCAGGCGGCGUGGCCGGCGGAGACAGUUGUCCUGAGUGUCUGAGGAAAGCUGGAGGACCCGCUGCAUGUUUCUGUUUCUGGUCUGUGAGGGCCGAAAGUCUCCAGCAGGGAGGUGAGGGCUGCCUGGGAGACGGCCCUCUCUCUGCCUCCCCCACCCUUCCAGCUGACCGGCUGUUUUCCCCAAUCACCCGCUCCGGUGACGGCUAAUUUCACGCUGUGCUGCCCAGCGGCUGGCCGAGCCCAGCCUAGAGGGACAGACCAUUCAAAUCAGCCAACUUUGCGAGAAGCCACACUGACUCCGGAGUGGGGAUGCCCCCCGCUCGGCCAAAGGCCAUAAGGCUAGGGUCUCCCCCAGAAGACGCUCUCGUCCCGUCUGCAGCCCGGAACCUGGCCUGCGUGUCCAGCCGCUGUGCCAGCUCCAGCUGGAGCCCAGGCCCCAAGCCAGGCCUCACACACAGCCUCACACACGCUCCGGCGCCCGCACGGGGAGCCCCCUCCUGCGAGAAGCGCGGACGAGAGACCGGGAGGAGAGGCACACCUCGAUGACCACGCGGAGGCCGCCCCGUCCUGCCUUCUCGUCUACACAGGGUCACCGCGGGAAGGGCGAGGACAGACGGGCGGCCGCUCCCCAAAGGCAAACGCGACCCGUGUCAGAAUGACACGUGUUUGCACAGAAACUUUCUUAAAUGGUGCAAAUUAUCACUGCAUUUUACACUUGAAGAGGGAAUCCGAUCUCGAGACGCGAUGCCGGCCUUUGCGGGGCUCUCGGCCUCCGCUGGACCUGGGCUGCACCCG